rnacentral:rRNA from 1 species
AUUGAACGCUGGCGGCAUGCUCAACACAUGCAAGUCGAACGGUAACAGGCCCUUCGGGGUGCUGACGAGUGGCGGACGGGUGAGUAAUGCUUAGGAAUCUGCCUAGCAGUGGGGGAUAACCCGGGGAAACUCGGGCUAAUACCGCAUACGCCCUACAGGGGAAAGCGGGGGACUUUCGGGCCUCGCGCUAUUAGAUGAGCCUAAGUCCGAUUAGCUAGUUGGUAGGGUAAUGGCCUACCAAGGCGACGAUCGGUAGCUGGUCUGAGAGGACGACCAGCCACACUGGGACUGAGACACGGCCCAGACUCCUACGGGAGGCAGCAGUGGGGAAUAUUGGACAAUGGGCGCAAGCCUGAUCCAGCGAUGCCGCGUGUGUGAAGAAGGCCUGCGGGUUAGUAAGCACUUUCAGUAGGGAAGAAAAGCCGAGUGCUAAUAUCACUCGGUCUUGACGUUACUUACAGAAGAAGCACCGGCUAACUCCGU